AACGGCGGACUGUUAAUCCGUAUGUCACAGGUUCAAGUCCUGUUGGAGGAG
rnacentral:tRNA from 1 species